GGAAUCUUCCACAAUGGACGAAAGUCUGAUGGAGCAACGCCGCGUGAGUGAUGAAGGUUUUCGGAUCGUAAAACUCUGUUGUAAGGGAAGAACAAGUACGAGAGGUAAUGCUCGUACCUUGACGGUACCUUGCGAGAAAGCCACGGCUAACUACGUGCCAGCAGCCGCGGUAAUACGUAGGUGGCAAGCGUUGUCCGGAAUUAUUGGGCGUAAAGCGCGCGCAGGCGGCCUUUUAAGUCUGAUGUGAAAGCCCCCGGCUCAACCGGGGAGGGUCAUUGGAAACUGGAAGGCUUGAGUACAGAAGAGAAGAGUGGAAUUCCAUGUGUAGCGGUGAAAUGCGUAGAGAUGUGGAGGAACACCAGUGGCGAAGGCGACUCUUUGGUCUGUAACUGACGCUGAGGCGCGAAAGCGUGGGGAGCAAACAGGAUUAGAUACCCCUG
rnacentral:rRNA from 1 species